rnacentral:rRNA from 1 species
CCUACGGGAGGCAGCAGUAGGGAAUAUUGCUCAAUGGGGGAAACCCUGAAGCAGCAACGCCGCGUGGAGGAUGAAGGUUGUAGGAUUGGAAACUCCUUUUGGGAGAGAAGAGAAUGACGGUAUCUCACGAAUAAGCACCGGCUAACUCCGUGCCAGCAGCCGCGGUAAUACGGAGGGUGCAAGCGUUACUCGGAAUCACUGGGCGGACAGAGUGCGCAGGCGGGCUGGUAAGUCAGAUGUGAAAUCCUGUCGCUUAACGACAGAACGGCAUUUGAAACUCUGAGUCUAGAGUGUGGGAGAGGUAGGUGGUAUUCUUUGUGUAGCGGUCAACUCCGUAGAUAUCACG